GCUGGGCAUGGUAGUGCAUGCCUGUAAUCCCAGCUACUCAGGAGGCUGAGGCAGGAGAAUCACUUGAACCCAGGAGGUAGAGGUUGCAGUGAGCCGAGAUUGUGCCACUGCACUCCAGCCUGGGUGACAGAGAGAGACUCUGUCUCAA
rnacentral:SRP_RNA from 1 species